rnacentral:rRNA from 1 species
AUGGCCGAGGCGAGCAAGCGCAUCGACCUCGCCGCGCCGCUGCUCUCCGUGCGACGCCACGGCGGGUUGGGCGGCACGUUGCGGUACGGCGAACGCGGUGACGAUGCCACGCCCGGAGGCGUGCCGUUCGGGUGGGAGCGCCGGCCCGGCCACCCCAAGGGCGUAUGCACGACCCAGAGCGCGCCACCGCUGCCCGGGCCGGACCAGGAGGCCGCGGUGCGGUUCUCGGACGCGCUCUCCCGGCCCGACAGCUGCUACACCGUGAGCUGCAGCGACGCGGCCGGCGCGACGGUGUCGGCGUCGGCGUCGGCGGCCCCGAGCCCCCGGGGCAGCGUCAUGAUGGACCGCUUCUUGCUGGCGGCCAAGGAGCAGUGCGUCUUCCGGAAGGCCGCUGCCGCUGCUGCCAAGACGCGUGCCAGCCACAGGUUGCCGGAGCGCCUCCCUGUCCAGCACCUGCCGGCGAGCCACGUGCAGCGUAGCCAUGUAAAGGACACGGACGACAACGGGGAGGAGGAGGAGGAGGAUAAAUGGGAGGUGCACAGCACGGCGGGCUUCGCGUCCAAGAGAAAGUGCGGGCUGCUCCCCGCCCGGUGUGCCAGGAGCGCCCUGCUGCUCCUGAACCCAGCGCGGUCCACGAUGAGGCGCCGCCGCCGCGGCGCGCGGCGCCUCCUGUCCGGCUGCGGCAGCAGCCGGCGCGAGACGAACCCGCUCCUGCCGCGGAUCGGGCAUCAGCACCCUGAUCACGACGCUGGCACGGUCACGCGAAGCAGCUGGGAGGAGGUGUACAUCAGCUCACUCCGGCGAUCGGACCGAGGCGCCGUCCAUCCCAAGGCCACCCAUCUCGGCUUGCUCCUGGUCCUCGACAGGGCCGACGGCGGUGCGGCCUCGCCGCUGCCGCCUCCCAAUCCCAAGUGCGGCAGACCGCCGACGGCGAAGGCGAACGUCCGCGGGCUCAACGCCGUCGGCCAGGGCUUCCCACCGCCGCUACCUCCCUCGCAGGAGAGGACCGUGGCUCGCCGUGACGACAAGAUGGUGCUCGCAUUGCCGUCGCCCAAGACGCCGUCGGAGUCGUGGCUCUCGCGUACGCUGCCGACCGUGUCGUCGAACAGGCUGCCGGCCACUUCGUUCAUGGGGCUCCACGUGCAGCAGCUCAGGAAUCAGCGCGCUGCGUCUCGCUGGUGCUCCAGCGAUCAGGCCAAGGUUGUCGAUCAUGGCGCCAGGGGCGGGCCACGGCAGAUACGAAUAUAUGAUCUGCACAAGUGA